rnacentral:rRNA from 1 species
GACAUUGCUCGUGUAUAAUAUAAUCUACUGUGUUACGAUUAGAGACGUGCCCUUGUAAGAAAAUAGGAACUUAUAAGAAGAAACUAGAACGCCGGAAUUAUCGUAAGUAUAACCCUGACAUAUAUAAGCCUUAUAGCGACGGGAUUUUUUAAUUAUUUUAUAUACUUAGUUAUACUCUAUAUAAUAGGAAUAUACUAUUACUAUAAACCUAUGAUUAGAAAUAAACUAAGCUAAACACUUAUAGCAAAUAGAUACUAGGGAUCUAUAUAUAUUAGAUAGUAUAAUUGAUAAUACGAAGGGUAACAAGGGGCUAAGGAGAAAAACAUAUAUAAGGAAUGUAAGGGAUGUUAGCGCUAUUUAAAAUGGCCUAAAAGAGAGCUUCCGGGUUGAAAGCCUUAAAGGGAAGGCAUCGUAUUACAGAAAUAUAUAUAUAGAUGCUACCUAGACUACUAAUACAAAUAGGCCAAUUAAGCCGAAGGAACGAAAGGACUAAUUAUAAUAUAGGAAGCACAGUGAUCACUACGCUUACUAGCGAUCAAGGUAAUUACUACUAUGCGAUCACUUACGAUUACCGUAAUUAGGAGUGAUUACUAGGAUUAUAUAUAUAUAUAGAUAGUCACUUGUUAGGUAGACUCUAAGAGUUUACUAGUGAUAGUAACUUAUAAUUAUAGUACUUAUACUAAGUAUUGCUGAUUACUGUGAGAGAUAACUCUAGUGUUGUUAUAAACCCUUUGGCUUUACCGAAUCUCUUAGACGACCUGCCUGCUUGUCCCGUUUAAUCUACCUUCGUCUGAACCCUUUUAGAAGAAGUCUGAGUUAGGUUUGUUAUAUAAAGGCUUAUAGCGGUUCUAAUAUAUAAAUCGAUCGUUAAAUCUAAAUAUAAGCGCAAAAGACUAAUCGAACUAUCUAGUAGCUAGUUACUGCCAAAGUUUCCCUUGGGAUAAUAGUAUUAUCUUUAGUUUUAUAAGGUAAAGCGAAUAAUUGGGGACUUAGGGGCGCUUUUUAACCUUUAUCUAUUCUUAAACUUUGAAUAUAUAAGAAGCCCUUAUUACUUAGUUAAAUGUAGGCCUUUAAAUGUAUUAAUACUAGUAGGCUAUUUUUAGUAAGUAAAACUAGUAAUAUAGGAUAAACCGAAUAUAGGGUUAAGGUAUUGGAGUAAACGCUUAUUAGAUACUAUAAAAGGUAUUAGUAUAUCUUAAUAAUAAGACGGUAGCUAUAGAAGUUAGAAUCUACUAAGGACUAUAUAAUAACUUACCUAUUAAAUAUACUAGCCCUAAAAAUAGAUAGCGUUUAAGCGUCCUACCUAUACCUUACCCUUAGGGUGGAAACGAUGCCCUAAGGAGUAGGUAGCUAUAGAGGUUAGUAACAAAGCCUAAGGUAUAAGCCUAGGUCGAACGGCCUCUAGUAUAGAUCUUGGUAGUAAUAGUAAAUACUUUAAUAAGAACUUAAAGGACCGAAGUAAGGAAAGGUUUUAUAUAAAUAGCGGUUAGACAUAGGUUAGUUAAUCCUAAGCUAUAGGGAAGUUCCAUUUCAAAGGGACACUUAUACCUUAUAUAGUAAAAGGGAAGCCGGUUAACAUUCCGGCACCUAGAUAUAGGUUUUACGUAAUAAUGUAACUAAAUAUAGAGAUAACGGCAGGGGCCCUAGGUAAAGUUCUCUUUUCUUUUUAACGAUCUAUUACCCUAGAAAUAGUUUAUCUAGAGAUAAGGUUUAACGGCCGGAAGAGCCUAAUACUUUUGUCAGGUCUAAUACGCUCUCGACGUCCCUUAAAAAUCUAUAGGAGGGAAUACUUCUUACGCUAGGUUGUACUUAUAAUUGUAGUAGGUCCCUAAGCUAAACAGCCUCUAGUUAAUGGAAUAAUAUAGAUAAGGGAAGUUAGUAAAAUAGAUCCGUAACUUUGGGAUAAGGAUUAGCUCUAAGAGUUAGGUACGUUAGGCUUUAGGCGGACGCCUUAGGAGUAGGUCGCCUCUAGCUAGGCAACUAGUAGGGGGCUUCUAGUAUCUAGGUAUAGAUGCCCUUAGUAGGCUUCGGCCGUUUGGUAUAUAGUUAAUAACUAACUUAGAACUAGUAUAGAUAGGGGGAAUCUAACUAUCUAAUUAAAAUAUAGUAUUAUAAUAGCUAGAAAGUGGUAUUAAUAUAAUAUAAUUUCUACCUAGUGCUUUAAAUAUCAAAGUAAAGAAAUUCAACUAAGUGUAGGUAAACGGUAGAAGUAACUAUAACUCUCUUAAGGUAGCUAAAUACCUUGUCAUCUAAUUAGUAACGUAUAUAAAUAGAUUAAUAAGAUUCUUACUAUUCCUAUCUACUAUCUAGUAAAACUAUAGCUAAGGGAACAGGCUUAGCAAAAUUAGUAGGGAAAGAAGACCCUAUUAAGCUUGACUCUAGUUUGAUAUUAUAAAAAGAUAUAGGAGGUAUAGAAUAGGUAGGAGCUUUGGUACUAGUAAAAUACUACUACUCCUAUUAUUUUUUUACUUAUUUAAUAAAGUAGGGCUAGAUUUCUAUCUAACUUCUGGUUUUAAGGUCCUUUACAGGCUGACCUAGGUUAAAGACAUUAUUAGGUAGGGAGUUUAGCUAGGGCGGUAUAUCUAUUAAACUAUAACGUAGGUAUCCUAAGGGGGGCUUAUAGAGAAUAGAAAUCUCUAAUGGAAUAAAAGGGUAAAAGUCCCCUUAAUUUUGAUUUUUAGUGUAAAUAUAAACUAUAAAAGUAUAGCCUAUCGAUCCUUUAGUCCCUUGAAAUUUAAGGUUAGAGGUGCUAGAAAAGUUACUAUAGGGAUAACUAGCUUAUAGCGGCUAAACGUUUAUAGUAACGUCGCUUUUUAAUCCUUUGAUAUUAGCUCUUCCUAUUAUACUAAAGCAGAAUUCGGUAAGCGUUAGAUUGUUUACCUACUAAUAGAGAAUAUAAGCUAGGUUUAGACUAUCGUAAGAUAGGUUAGUUUUACCUUACUAAUGAACUUAUCGUAAUGGUAAUUUAGCUUAAUACGAGAGGAACUACUAAUUUAGAUAAUUAGUUUUUACGGUUAUCCGACUAGGCAGUGCUAUAAAGCUACCAUCUGCUAGAUAAUAGCUAAACGCCUCUAAGUCAGAAUCUAUACCAGAAUACGAUAAUACUACCUAUACGUUAUAGACGUAUAAGAAUAGGCUCCGGCCUCGUAUCCUAGUAAGCGAUUCCUCUACUAGCCUUGAAGUUGGCCGGCGGUAAUUCGCGUAUUACAAUU